AGUGAACGCUGGCGGUAGGCCUAACACAUGCAAGUCGAACGGCAGCACAGAGAAGCUUGCUCCUUGGGUGGCGAGUGGCGGACGGGUGAGGAAUACAUCGGAAUCUACUCUGUCGUGGGGGAUAACGUAGGGAAACUUACGCUAAUACCGCAUACGACCUACGGGUGAAAGCAGGGGAUCUUCGGACCUUGCGCGAGUGAAUGAGCCGAUGUCGGAUUAGCUAGUUGGCGGGGUAAAGGCCCACCAAGGCGACGAUCCGUAGCUGGUCUGAGAGGAUGAUCAGCCACUCUGGAACUGAGACACGGUCCAGACUCCUACGGGAGGCAGCAGUGGGGAAUAUUGGACAAUGGGCGCAAGCCCGAUCCAGCCAUACCGCGUGGGUGAAGAAGGCCUUCGGGUUGUAAAGCCCUUUUGUUGGGAAAGAAAUCCAUCUGGUUAAUACCCGGAUGGGAUGACGGUACCCAAAGAAUAAGCACCGGCUAACUUCGUGCCAGCCGCCGCCGUAA
rnacentral:rRNA from 1 species